GGGGAAUUGUUCGCAAUGGGCGCAAGCCUGACGACGCAACGCCGCGUGGAGGAUGAAGAUUUUCGGAUCGUAAACUCCUUUCGAUCGGGACGAAUCGGUCGCGACCUAACACGUCGUGGCACUGACGGUACCGAGAGAAGAAGCCCCGGCUAACUCCGUGCCCGCAGCCGCGGUAAUACGGGGGGGGCUAGCGUUGUUCGGAAUUACUGGGCGUAAAGCGCGCGCAGGCGGUCGUUCAAGUCGCGUGUGAAAGCCCCCGGCUCAACUGGGGAGGGUCACGCGAUACUGAUCGACUCGAAGGCAGGAGAGGGAAGUGGAAUUCCCGGUGUAGUGGUGAAAUGCGUAGAUAUCGGGAGGAACACCAGUGGCGAAGGCGACUUCCUGGCCUGUCCUUGACGCUGAGGCGCGAAAGCUAGGGGAGCAAAC
rnacentral:rRNA from 1 species